UCGAAGGAAGCGGGAGUGACUUAGCGGCGGACGGGUGAGUAACGCGUGGGUAACCUGCCCCAUACCGGGGGAUAACGGUUAGAAAUGACCGCUAAUACCGCGUAAGCGCGCGAGGCCGCAUGGCCCCGGGCGAAAAACUCCGGUGGUAUGGGAUGGGCCCGCGUCUGAUUAGCUAGUUGGCGGGGUAAAGGCCCACCAAGGCGACGAUCAGUAGCCGACCUGAGAGGGUGGCCGGCCACAUUGGGACUGAGACACGGCCCAAACUCCUACGGGAGGCAGCAG
rnacentral:rRNA from 1 species